rnacentral:rRNA from 1 species
GAUGAACGCUGGCGGCGUGCCUAAUACAUGCAAGUCGAGCGAACGGACUAGAAGCUUGCUUCUCUGAUGUUAGCGUCGGACGGGUGAGUAACACGUGGAUAACCUACCUAUAAGACUGGGAUAACUUCGGGAAACCGGAGCUAAUACCGGAUUAUAUUUUGAACCGCAUGGUUCAAAAGUGAAAGACGGUCUUGCUGUCACUUAUAGAUGGAUCCGCGCUGCAUUAGCUAGUUGGUAAGGUAACGGCUUACCAAGGCAACGAUGCAUAGCCGACCUGAGAGGGUGAUCGGAAAAACUGGAACUGAGACACGGUCCAGACUCCUAAGGGAGGCAGCAGUAGGGAAGCUUCCGCAAUGGGCGAAAGCCUGACGGAGCAACGCCGCGUGAGUGAUGAAGGUCUUCGGAUCGUAAAACUCUGUUAUUAGGGAAGAACAUAUGUGUAAGUAACUGUGCACAUCUUGACGGUACCUAAUCAGAAAGCCACGGCUAACUAAGUG